UACGUAGGGUGCAAGCGUUAAUCGGAAUUACUGGGCGUAAAGCGUGCGCAGGCGGUUUUGUAAGUCUGAUGUGAAAUCCCCGGGCUCAACCUGGGAAUUGCAUUGGAGACUGCAAGGCUAGAGUGUGUCAGAGGGGGUAGAAUUCCACGUGUAGCAGUGAAAUGCGUAGAUAUGUGGAGGAACACCGAUGGCGAAGGCAGCCCCCUGGGAUAACACUGACGCUCAUGCACGAAAGCGUGGGGAGCAAACAGG
rnacentral:rRNA from 1 species